rnacentral:rRNA from 1 species
AGAGUUUGAUCCUGGCUCAGAGCGAACGCUGGCGGCGUGCUUAACACAUGCAAGUCGAACGGGUGUAGCAAUACAUUCGUGGCGAACGGGUGCGUAACACGUGGAUAACCUUCCUUCAGGUGGGGAAUAACCCAGUGAAAAUUGGGCUAAUUCCGCAUAACAAGUCGGGGGCACAUGCCUCUGCCUUCAAAGGCGCAAGU